GCAAGUCGAACGAGGUACUUUUGUAGUAAUACGAAAGUGUCCUAGUGGCGAACGGGUGAGUAACGCGUUGGUGACCUACCCCAAAGUGUGGGAUAACAGUUCGAAAGGAUUGCUAAUACCGCAUGUGGUCUUCGGAUUUAGAAACUGAUGACUAAAGGAGUAAUCCGCUUUGGGAGGGACCUGCGUCCCAUCAGCUAGUUGGUGAGGUAAUGGCUCACCAAGGCUACGACGGGUAGGGGACCUGAGAGGGUGACCCCCCACAACGGAACUGAAACACGGUCCAUACACCUACGGGUGGCAGCAGUAGGGAAUAUUGCACAAUGGGCGAAAGCCUGAUGCAGCAACGCCGCGUGUGCGAUGAAGGCCUUCGGGUCGUAAAGCACUUUUCUGAGGGAUGAGCAAGGACAGUACCUCAGGAAUAAGUCUCGGCUAACUACGUGCCAGCAGCCGCGGUAAAACGUAGGAGGCAAGCGUUAUCCGGAUUCACUGGGCGUAAAGCGCGUGCAGGCGGUUCGGUAAGUUGGGCGUGAAAUCUCCUGGCUUAACUAGGAGAGGUCGUUCAAUACUACCGGACUUGAGAGUGGUAGAGGAAGAUGGAAUUCCCGGUGUAGUGGUGAAAUGCGUAGAUAUCGGGAGGAACACCAGUGGCGGAAGCGAUCUUCUGGACCAUUUCUGACGCUCAGACGCGAAAGCUAGGGUAGUAAACGGGAUUAGAGACCCCGGUAAUCCUAGCCGUAAACGAUGUAAACUUGGCGUCGGUGGCUUAAACUCCAUCGGUGCCGCAGCUAACGCGAUAAGUUUACCGCC
rnacentral:rRNA from 1 species